AUUGAACGCUGGCGGCAGGCUUAACACAUGCAAGUCGAGCGGAGAUGAGGUGCUUGCACCUUAUCUUAGCGGCGGACGGGUGAGUAAUGCUUAGGAAUCUGCCUAUUAGUGGGGGACAACAUUCCGAAAGGAAUGCUAAUACCGCAUACGUCCUACGGGAGAAAGCAGGGGAUCUUCGGACCUUGCGCUAAUAGAUGAGCCUAAGUCGGAUUAGCUAGUUGGUGGGGUAAAGGCCUACUAAGGCGACGAUCUGUAGCGGGUCUGAGAGGAUGGGCCGCAACACUGGGACUGAGCCACGGCCCAGACUCCUACGGGAGGCAGCAGUGGGGAAUAUUGGACAAUGGGGGGAACCCUGAUCCAGCCAUGCCGCGUGUGUGAAGAAGGCCUUAUGGUUGUAAAGCACUUUAAGCGAGGAGGAGGCUACUGAGACUAAUACCCUUGGAUAGUGGACGUUACUCGCAGAAUAAGCACCGGCUAACUCUGUGCCAGCCGCCGCGGUAACAC
rnacentral:rRNA from 1 species